GGCUAACCGGACCGAAGUCAAGGUUACCCUUCGUAUAACACGUAAUGACGGACAAGACGACAGGUUCCUAAUAUCACGGGCUUUUGCCCACCAGAUCCCGACUAAGGAAGAGCUUUACAAGGUUUUUCGCUGGUCGCUUUUCAACAAGGCCAGUCGCCGAGAUAAUUAGUGGUAAUAUUUUGAUUGUAUGAACGUAUGCUUUCUGUCUGUUGUUUUCUGGUGGUACAGCAAAAUCUAUGAUAAAGGCCAAUUUUUCAUUUUUGUUGAUAAAGAGAAUGUCCGGUUUGUUAUGCUGUAUUUGUCUAUCAGUUACGAUCAUUGUAUAAACUUUAGCGGAACUAUUCUCUAUCACUGGGAUGGGGCUGUACUUGUAAUACGGCAAAAUUCAAUUAUUCAAGUUUCUGGUUGCACACUCUGCACAAAUCGCUUGAGAUGUUCUGCAUCAUGACAGGUACGACCUGGUCCCGCACCGCGGAUAUGGCUCCCUCAGUUUUCCGAUUCAGUCGACCCGGGCGUAAAGGGAGCAAUAGCUACAUCGUUGGCCAAAUUGAGGGGAGUGAAGAUUUUGUAUGACCGCAUUAUUGCAUCAUGCAUAGGUAAGUUGGAGCUCUUGAAAUAUUUUACCAGUUGUUUUUUUUUUUUAGGUGACGCGCUCGCAGACUCAAAAGACCUCGCCCACCAUUCUGCCUAGUGAUAUAUAGUCGCGCGGUAGAGGAAUUUGGAUGAUGGCUUCUAUAUGAGGUAAGUGUUGUGCGUACUAACCUAUCAAUUCCUUGCAGGUCAGUAUCGGUCCAUUUUAGAACCCCAAAUGUGAACUCCACCACUGGCAUCGCCCAGGAAUUAAUAGCGGAGAAAGAAUUUUUUGCAUUGAGUUCUGUUUUUAGUAAUAGUCGAAGUCUCCUUCUGAACUCGGUUUUUAUAUUUUGCUUCAUGAGUUUUGAUAGGUAGAUAGAUAAGAUACUUCUAAUUCUCGCUGGUAGGUGGUUUAUUUCUGCCCCAUCCAUGAGCUUCAUUGUUUCUCCCGCAACUAGGCAUCCUCUCUUUUGUCCAGUCCAAACUCCAUUCCUAUAGUCCUGCUAGAGCCGGCCUCAAUUUCCAUUUGGUUGUGAAGUUGCAUGUACAAUGUAAGAGAUGGUUUUUGCCCACUAAGUGGGUUCAGGGCUAGACAAAACCAGAGUGGACUCAUACUAUCGCCCUGGAAAAAUCCCCUUUUUAUUUGUAGCUACUGGGUUAGAUAUUCUUGCUGUUGAUUGCGAACUCUUAAUCUUGUUUUUCAUUUCCCCAUCAAGUGUUGGAGUAGUUUGGGUGCAGCGGGACCAUUCUUAUAAAUGGCAAGAACACUUGUCAGCCAGCUAUUUGGGACCGAGUCGAACGCUUUUUUGUAAUCUACCCAGGCGACCGAUAGGUUUCUCUGCUUGCUUCUGGCUUGGUUUGUAAUUACUGCGUCAGUGAUAAGCAGUUCUUUUGUGCCUUGUGUUCUUUUUUUACAACCAAGCUGUCCUGUGGCUAGGAUUUUAUUCUCAGUUACAUGCCUUUCAAUGUUCUGGGCGAUUAUUGACGUUAGAACUGGGUCCUGUGUUUUCAUCACUGAGAAUCAGCUUUCAUACCAUCUUUUAGGUGCUUGUCGGGGAGGUCUGUCUGCUUUCUUUUCCUUUGCAGUGACUUCAUAGCCGGUCCCAAGCCCGGAUAAAAGAGGAGGGUUCCAAGUGAGGUUAGCGACCUGCUUGGAUAAAAAAAACAAGUGCUCCUAAAUACAAUGGUUUAACCUCCAUAUUUCUUCGUUUGGUUUAAUUUUUGUUUAAGUUUCGACUUGAAGCAUUUCAUUUCCUUUUUAUUCUUAAACUGUCUUGUGUCAUAUUUUAACUUUUA